CCUACGGUAUGCAGCAGUGGGGAAUAUUGGACAAUGGGCGAAAGCCUGAUCCAGCCAUGCCGCGUGUGUGAAGAAGGCCUUCGGGUUGUAAAGCACUUUCAGUGGGGAAGAAAGCCUUGGGGCUAAUACCCUCGAGGAAGGACAUCACCCACAGAAGAAGCACCGGCUAACUCCGUGCCAGCAGCCGCGGUAAUACGGAGGGUGCGAGCGUUAAUCGGAAUUACUGGGCGUAAAGCGCGCGUAGGCGGUCUGAUAAGCCGGUUGUGAAAGCCCCGGGCUCAACCUGGGAACGGCAUCCGGAACUGUCAGGCUAGAGUGCAGGAGAGGAAGGUAGAAUUCCCGGUGUAGCGGUGAAAUGCGUAGAGAUCGGGAGGAAUACCAGUGGCGAAGGCGGCCUUCUGGACUGACACUGACGCUGAGGUGCGAAAGCGUGGGUAGCAAACAGGAUUAGAUACCCCAGUAGUC
rnacentral:rRNA from 1 species